AGAGUUUGAUCAUGGCUCAGAGUGAACGCUGGCGGCAGGCCUAAUACAUGCAAGUCGAACGGCAGCACAGCAGAGCUUGCUCUGUGGGUGGCGAGUGGCGGACGGGUGAGGAAUACGUGGGAAUCUGCCCAGUCGUGGGGGAUAACGUAGGGAAACUUACGCUAAUACCGCAUGCGCCCUUCGGGGGAAGCCGGGGACCUUCGGGCCUGGCGCGAUUGGAUGAGCCCACGUCGGAUUAGCUAGUUGGCGGGGUAAAGGCCCACCAAGGCGACGAUCCGUAGCUGGUCUGAGAGGAUGAUCAGCCACACUGGAACUGAGACACGGUCCAGACUCCUACGGGAGGCAGCAGUAGGGAAUAUUGGACAAUGGGCGCAAGCCUGAUCCAGCCAUGCCGCGUGAGUGAAGAAGGCCCUCGGGUUGUAAAGCUCUUUUGUCCGGAAAGAAAAGCGCCGGGUUAAUACCCUGGUGUCCUGACGGUACCGGAAGAAUAAGCACCGGCUAACUUCGUG
rnacentral:rRNA from 1 species